rnacentral:rRNA from 1 species
CCUACGGGUAGCUGCAGUCGAGAAUCAUUCACAAUGGGGGAAACCCUGAUGGUGCGACGCCGCGUGGGGGAAUGAAGGUCUUCGGAUUGUAAACCCCUGUCAUGUGGGAGCAAAUUAAAAAGAUAGUACCACAAGAGGAAGAGACGGCUAACUCUGUGCCAGCAGCCGCGGUAAUACAGAGGUCUCAAGCGUUGUUCGGAAUCACUGGGCGUAAGGCGUGCGUAGGCUGUUUCGUAAGUCGUGUGUGAAAGGCGCGGGCUCAACCCGCGGACGACACAUGAUACUGCGAGACUAGAGUAAUGGAGGGGGAACCGGAAUUCUCGGUGUAGCAGUGAAAUGCGUAGAUAUCGAGAGGAACACUCGUGGCGAAGGCGGGUUCCUGGACAUUAACUGACGCUGAGGCACGAAGGCCAGGGGAGCGAAAGGGAUUAGAUACCCCUGUAGUC